AUCGACGGGCGAAGUAGUCACGGACGUGCUCUCUCUCUCUCUCUCUCUCUCUCUGCAGGACGAAAUAAUGUUUCGUUGGUCGAUCCUGUGCCGCGAAGCGUCGACGAAAUCCGUGUUUCUCGGGACACGCGACCGGCGUACGAUGCUACGUUGCGUAUGGUCAGCGUAGCGCGGUCUCGCGACAGCGUGCUCUAUGUGUCAUUCGUGCUUCGGUGACUUGCGUUAUGUUCGGCCGUCCGACCUUGUCCAAGUUCAGAACGUUCGAGAAAUUCUGACGCAAGCCGCUGCGAAUCGAUCGGCAGUCGCGAACUCGGGUAUCGUUCGCGUUCGCAUUCUUGUUCGCAUCGACCGGUCGGUGCAACGGCCGGCGACGAAUCCGCGAACGUGGAAGCGGUCCGAUCGAAUCGAACGCCGAUUUCGUACGCGUUCGUUCGUCGAACACCGAGAAACGACCCGAUCGGUUCGCGAGAGUUUACCGAUAACGAGCAACCCGGUGGUGCACCGUCGCACCGAUCGAGUUCACCGGCUUACGAAGAUUACGUCACCGUGCCACGAUCGAUUCGCGGAGCAACGUCGUAUUCGAGAAGCUUCCAUCGCGUUACCCUCGCCGCGAAUCGGCCGAAUCGGUGUAAUUUUCUGUUCGACGCGUUCACCAGAUUCGUCCUAACGCGGACCAGGCCCCGGCUUUCGCGGAUUACAUAUAUCCAUCCGACGGAUUCUUGCGUCAUCCUUAACAGACGACAAUUGGAUGUUGUUUCAAUUCGACGCGGUAUUGAGUCAUCCGGGUCGAUAAGGUGUUAAACGUACGUUUUUACUUGUUAUCUCUAAUUGCGAGCGAUACGUACACGUAUGUAUAUAUAUAUAUAUACAUACAUACACACGCGUAUUUGUUUUAGCUGGUAACCCGUCUAUGCGAUUCGAGAAACGCGAUAUCUACGAAUUACGACGCGUUUUCUUUUCUUCUUUUUUCUUUUUUUCAUUUCUAUUUCGAGCUGUUUGCUCCGUCGACGAAACUUUACGCGAUCGACUCCUCCGCGAACGUGCCCGAGCAACGCUAAUUGCGCCGUUGACGAUCGCUUUGUUUCGCGGGUUAAAUUGUCGUUGAUCGAAGAGAACGCUGUACGUUGUAGCAACGAUGGUCGAAUGUAAAUUUAGUGAUCGCGUACCAUUUUUCGAAGACGUCAGCGUUCCCGAAUUAAUCCCGAGCCAAUUUUACGUUUCGCGGCAUCUGGGAGGACGAACGGUGGACCCGACCGCGAAGACAGCCGCUACCGUUGCUAGCGCUACCGCUACGUCGACGACGACAAGUACCGUGUACAUCUUGGUCUUGACGAGCGCGAACACGGUCUCCGGGAAGCCGGGAAGCCGGGAGGAGGACAUUUUGCUAUACCGGGAGCCCGGGUAGAGCAAAGAGAAGAGAAGAGACACGGCCGAGAGAACGGACGGAUCCGCGAGAAGAUAGCAGUUGGGUUGACAGCAACGGCGCGCAAUAGUAGCAUCGUUGAGCGAACCACGCGCGGGUAGAAUGUGGGACGGAAGUCGAUGCGUUGAGAGGAGUAGGGACCCCGGCGAACGGAGCGACGAAGAAACGUCGAGAGGCGAAUAGGGAAGAGAAAAA